rnacentral:rRNA from 1 species
CCUUCACUCUGGGACAAGCCCUGGAAACGGGGUCUAAUACCGGAUACCACCUUCACUGGCAUCUGUGAAGGUUGAAAGCUCCGGCGGUGAAGGAUGAGCCCGCGGCCUAUCAGCUUGUUGGUGAGGUAAUGGCUCACCAAGGCGACGACGGGUAGCCGGCCUGAGAGGGCGACCGGCCACACUGGGACUGAGACACGGCCCAGACUCCUACGGGAGGCAGCAGUGGGGAAUAUUGCACAAUGGGCGAAAGCCUGAUGCAGCGACGCCGCGUGAGGGAUGACGGCCUUCGGGUUGUAAACCUCUUUCAGCAGGGAAGAAGCGAAAGUGACGGUACCUGCAGAAGAAGCGCCGGCUAACUACGUGCCAGCAGCCGCGGUAAUACGUAGGGCGCAAGCGUUGUCCGGAAUUAU